UCCAGAAUGUAACACUAUCUGUCUGUCCGUCUGUCAGGGAGGUUAAGGCGUUUAUGCUCACACACUCCUGAUCUCCACCUGCUCAUGACGGCUACGCUCACACACACACACACCGAACUGACAGCAAACACACACACACACACGUGGUGUAUGUUCCAUUUAGACUGUAUGUUUACUCUGCAUUAGGAGCUUAAUGAGCUGAUGUCACUUUUUCCAUUUCCCACUAAUGGAGGCAGAAACACUGAGCGAUGGACGGCGGAGAGGAAGCAGCCGCAGAUGAAGAAGGAUGGAUAGAAAGAGAAGGAGGCAACGAGGAAGGAUGAAAAGACUGAUACAAACUGUCACGGUUGACUUCUAGCUUGACCUGAAGGGUAAACAACAGUUUAUCUCCAUCGAGGACAAAUGGACAGCGAAAAUACAGAGCAGGAAGAGACGAGAAAAUCUGGCUCUCGGUAUGUUAGUCAAGAAAACUGUAUGUCAAAAUGGAGGAAACGUAAGAACACCUGCCCUAAACAUCCACUAACAACUCAACCAGGCUGCAACAGGGAAUCCUUCCGGAGAGGCAAAGUAAACACAGCUGAGAGCCACAACUCAACUCUAAGACUACAGAAAGGAUUUCAUACUGAGUUUUUUUUUUCUUUGCCCAACUUCAGUGCUAAUAAUUAGAAAUAAAAACUCCACAAAUGAGCUAAAAAAGGAGGCUUUAAUUGUAAUACCUUGUGAUUGAGGUCUGUAUGCAAGCAUAUUAAUAGAAAAUUGAGAGGAAGGAAGAAGUGUGGUAGGAAAAGCUGCAGCAAUCAGGAGAACUGAAGCAUUAUCAGGAUUGUCAAGUAAAAAUACAUUAAAUAAUUUGGA